GUUGCUACAAUACGGAUGUUGGGGAAAAAUAGAUGAAGGGGAAGGGCACAAUUUGUCAAGUAAAUUAAAUUCAGUUUUUAAUAUAACCUCAAUCAUAUUUGUUCGUAACUUAACAUAGUCAAAUUUUUAAAAAUCGAUUUAGUUUUAAAAGAAAAGGUAGUUGACGGUUUGUCCCCUGAUUUUUGCAAUAUGCGCGCGCAUCGUCAGCGGGCUGAGGCUACGUGUUCGAACACCAGCAGUAAUGGCGGAGGAGAGCGAGCAGAGCUUUAAUAAUAUUUUAUAAUUUUACAUCCAGGAUCUUCAGGAGAAUUAAGCGAAACUCAAACUCCUUGUUCUUAACAAAGACUUUCUGUAUGGCUAAGAACAUGAGUCUGCUCCCUCAAGAAGAUGAUGUAGCCCUGGAGCUGCUGCCAGUACUCCUCCCUGCUCCACCUUACUAAUUUGGGAGAAGAGUUUCAGACCCAUCAACCUGGAAGU